ACCGCGAAAUCUUGAUUUGCUCU
rnacentral:snRNA from 1 species